UGACAAAGGAGCUAGGGGUGCGGUGCGGUGCCCCUCGGAGGCCUGCCGACCUGCUACCUUCUCCGGCCUUCCUCCUGGCCGCGGUGAGGGCACUGAGUGGCUGCAGUGCUGCCGAGGUCCAGGUGCUGUGUUUUGCGGCGGCGACCCCCGGGCCGGGGGUCCGGGGAAUGGCGCUAACCCUGGAGACCUCGAUCCCGUGCGCCGCUCUUGCAGCUCAGGCUGCAGAAUUGUGUAACCGGUGACCUCCGGUUCCCCCUCCGCCGCGACUGCACGGCCACCCAGGCCCUGCCACCCGCGCUGCGUGGUUCACUGACUUGUGCGCCCAUGGAUCUGCUUCUGAGUCCCGCAACCGGCGACGCCUCCUUCCUCCAGCACAGGAAGUUUGCCAAUGAGACCACAGACCCUGAGAAGCACAUGCCAGAGUGAAGAGUGGCAGCAGAAAAGAAUGCAUAGCACCACAAGAGUCCAGGGGACUGAAAGGAAACAACAGAAGCCAUUUUCCUUCAUCAAAAAUCUAGAAAAUAGUCAUGUUUCCAGUUUAGACCUCAGAAGAGCUGCAACUCAGCAGUGCCAGAAAUGGGAGGACCCCAUCAUGGGAGCAAGCUGCAAUCACCUCACUCUACCGCCAUAAGGACAAUGAAACAACAUCAACAUACAACUUUCCACAAUGGAAACUUCGUAAUGACUGAAGAAGAUGCAGGUCAUUCCACUUCAAUGUUCAAUUCUACUUCACUCUGAACCAUAGCAGAAGAGAUUAUUACAAGAAACAACUUCAGUUUUAUAUUUAACUUCA